GACGAACGCUGGCGGCAUGCCUAAUACAUGCAAGUCGAGCGAACAGAUGAAGUGCUUGCACUUCUGACGUUAGCGGCGAACGGGUGAGUAACACGUAAGGAAUCUACCUAUAAGCGGGGGAUAGCAUUCGGAAACGGGUGCUAAUACCGCAUAAUAUCUUCUUCCGCAUGGAAGAAGAUUGAAAGACGGCUCUGCUGUCACUUAUAGAUGACCUUGCGGUGCAUUAGUUAGUUGGUGGGGUAACGGCCUACCAAGACGAUGAUGCAUAGCCGACCUGAGAGGGUGAUCGGCCACAUUGGGACUGAGACACGGCCCAAACUCCUACGGGAGGCAGCAGUAGGGAAUCUUCCGCAAUGGGCGAAAGCCUGACGGAGCAAUGCCGCGUGAGUGAAGAAGGCCUUCGGGUCGUAAAACUCUGUUAUAAGAGAAGAACAAAUUGUAGAGUAGCUGCUACAGUCUUGACGGUAUCUUAUCAGAAAGCCACGGCUAACUACGU
rnacentral:rRNA from 1 species